rnacentral:rRNA from 1 species
GAUGAACGCUAGCUACAGGCUUAACACAUGCAAGUCGAGGGGUAACGAGAGGAAAGCUUGCUUUCCUUGUUGACGACCGGCGCACGGGUGAGUAACGCGUAUUCAACCUGCCCCCAACUAGGGAAUAACCUUGCGAAAGUAAGACUAAUACCCUAUAAUUUCCUCAGAUGUCAUCUGACGAGGAAUAAAGAUUUAUAGGUUGGGGAUGGGGAUGCGUCUGAUUAGCUUGUUGGCGGGGUAAUGGCCCACCAAGGCAACGAUCAGUAGGGGUUCUGAGAGGAAGGUCCCCCACAUUGGAACUGAGACACGGUCCAAACUCCUACGGGAGGCAGCAGUGAGGAAUAUUGGUCAAUGGGCGGAAGCCUGAACCAGCCAAGUAGCGUGCAGGAUGACGGCCCUAUGGGUUGUAAACUGCUUUUAUACAGGAAUAAAGUUAGCCACGUGUGGUUAUUUGUAGGUACUGUAUGAAUAAGGACCGGCUAAUUCCGUGCCAGCCGCCGCGGUAA